GGUUAAGCGACUAAGCGUACACGGUGGAUGCCCUGGCAGUCAGAGGCGAUGAAGGACGUGCUAAUCUGCGAUAAGCGUCGGUGAGGUGAUAUGAACCGUUAUAACCGGCGAUUUCCGAAUGGGGAAACCCAGUGUGUUUCGACACACUAUCAUUAACUGAAUCCAUAGGUUAAUGAGGCGAACCGGGGGAACUGAAACAUCUAAGUACCCCGAGGAAAAGAAAUCAACCGAGAUUCCCCCAGUAGCGGCGAGCGAACGGGGAGGAGCCCAGAGCCUGAAUCAGUGUGUGUGUUAGUGGAAGCGUCUGGAAAGGCGCGCGAUACAGGGUGACAGCCCCGUACACAAAAAUGCACAUGCUGUGAGCUCGAUGAGUAGGGCGGGACACGUGGUAUCCUGUCUGAAUAUGGGGGGACCAUCCUCCAAGGCUAAAUACUCCUGACUGACCGAUAGUGAACCAGUACCGUGAGGGAAAGGCGAAAAGAACCCCGGCGAGGGGAGUGAAAAAGAACCUGAAACCGUGUACGUACAAGCAGUGGGAGCCUCUUAAUGGGGUGACUGCGUACCUUUUGUAUAAUGGGUCAGCGACUUAUAUUCUGUAGCAAGGUUAACCGAAUAGGGGAGCCGAAGGGAAACCGAGUCUUAACUGGGCGUUAAGUUGCAGGGUAUAGACCCGAAACCCGGUGAUCUAGCCAUGGGCAGGUUGAAGGUUGGGUAACACUAACUGGAGGACCGAACCGACUAAUGUUGAAAAAUUAGCGGAUGACUUGUGGCUGGGGGUGAAAGGCCAAUCAAACCGGGAGAUAGCUGGUUCUCCCCGAAAGCUAUUUAGGUAGCGCCUCGUGAAUUCAUCUCCGGGGGUAGAGCACUGUUUCGGCAAGGGGGUCAUCCCGACUUACCAACCCGAUGCAAACUGCGAAUACCGGAGAAUGUUAUCACGGGAGACACACGGCGGGUGCUAACGUCCGUCGUGAAGAGGGAAACAACCCAGACCGCCAGCUAAGGUCCCAAAGUCAUGGUUAAGUGGGAAACGAUGUGGGAAGGCCCAGACAGCCAGGAUGUUGGCUUAGAAGCAGCCAUCAUUUAAAGAAAGCGUAAUAGCUCACUGGUCGAGUCGGCCUGCGCGGAAGAUGUAACGGGGCUAAACCAUGCACCGAAGCUGCGGCAGCGACACUAUGUGUUGUUGGGUAGGGGAGCGUUCUGUAAGCCUGUGAAGGUGGCCUGUGAGGGUUGCUGGAGGUAUCAGAAGUGCGAAUGCUGACAUAAGUAACGAUAAAGCGGGUGAAAAGCCCGCUCGCCGGAAGACCAAGGGUUCCUGUCCAACGUUAAUCGGGGCAGGGUGAGUCGACCCCUAAGGCGAGGCCGAAAGGCGUAGUCGAUGGGAAACAGGUUAAUAUUCCUGUACUUGGUGUUACUGCGAAGGGGGGACGGAGAAGGCUAUGUUGGCCGGGCGACGGUUGUCCCGGUUUAAGCGUGUAGGCUGGUUUUCCAGGCAAAUCCGGAAAACCAAGGCUGAGGCGUGAUGACGAGGCACUACGGUGCUGAAGUGACAAAUGCCCUGCUUCCAGGAAAAGCCUCUAAGCAUCAGGUAACAUCAAAUCGUACCCCAAACCGACACAGGUGGUCAGGUAGAGAAUACCAAGGCGCUUGAGAGAACUCGGGUGAAGGAACUAGGCAAAAUGGUGCCGUAACUUCGGGAGAAGGCACGCUGAUAUGUAGGUGAAGCGACUUGCUCGUGGAGCUGAAAUCAGUCGAAGAUACCAGCUGGCUGCAACUGUUUAUUAAAAACACAGCACUGUGCAAACACGAAAGUGGACGUAUACGGUGUGACGCCUGCCCGGUGCCGGAAGGUUAAUUGAUGGGGUUAGCGGUAACGCGAAGCUCUUGAUCGAAGCCCCGGUAAACGGCGGCCGUAACUAUAACGGUCCUAAGGUAGCGAAAUUCCUUGUCGGGUAAGUUCCGACCUGCACGAAUGGCGUAAUGAUGGCCAGGCUGUCUCCACCCGAGACUCAGUGAAAUUGAACUCGCUGUGAAGAUGCAGUGUACCCGCGGCAAGACGGAAAGACCCCGUGAACCUUUACUAUAGCUUGACACUGAACAUUGAGCCUUGAUGUGUAGGAUAGGUGGGAGGCUUUGAAGUGUGGACGCCAGUCUGCAUGGAGCCGACCUUGAAAUACCACCCUUUAAUGUUUGAUGUUCUAACGUUGGCCCCUAAUCGGGGUUGCGGACAGUGUCUGGUGGGUAGUUUGACUGGGGCGGUCUCCUCCUAAAGAGUAACGGAGGAGCACGAAGGUUGGCUAAUCCUGGUCGGACAUCAGGAGGUUAGUGCAAUGGCAUAAGCCAGCUUGACUGCGAGCGUGACGGCGCGAGCAGGUGCGAAAGCAGGUCAUAGUGAUCCGGUGGUUCUGAAUGGAAGGGCCAUCGCUCAACGGAUAAAAGGUACUCCGGGGAUAACAGGCUGAUACCGCCCAAGAGUUCAUAUCGACGGCGGUGUUUGGCACCUCGAUGUCGGCUCAUCACAUCCUGGGGCUGAAGUAGGUCCCAAGGGUAUGGCUGUUCGCCAUUUAAAGUGGUACGCGAGCUGGGUUUAGAACGUCGUGAGACAGUUCGGUCCCUAUCUGCCGUGGGCGCUGGAGAACUGAGGGGGGCUGCUCCUAGUACGAGAGGACCGGAGUGGACGUAUCACUGGUGUUCGGGUUGUCAUGCCAAUGGCACUGCCCGGUAGCUAAAUGCGGAAGAGAUAAGUGCUGAAAGCAUCUAAGCACGAAACUUGCCCCGAGAUGAGUUCUCCCUGAGACUUAGAGUCUCCUGAAGGAACGUUGAAGACGACGACGUUGAUAGGCCGGGUGUGUAAGCGCAGCGAUGCGUUGAGCUAACCGGUACUAAUGAACCGUGAGGCUUAACCUU
rnacentral:rRNA from 1 species